AUACGUAGGUGGCAAGCGUUAUCCGGAAUCAUUGGGCGUAAAGGGUGCGUAGGCGGCUUCUUAAGUUUGUAGUGAAAUCGUAGGGCUCAACUCUAUCUAGCUACAAAAACUGGGAGGCUGGAGUGCGGUAGAGGCUAGUGGAAUUCCUAGUGGAGGGGUAAAAUGCGUAGAUAUUAGGAGGAACACCGGUGGCGAAGGCGACUAGCUGGGCCGUAACUGACGCUGAGGCACGAAAGCGUGGGGAGCAAAUAGGAUUAGAUACCCUAGUAGUCCACGCCGUAAACGAUGAAUACUAAGUGUUGGAGAAAUUCAGUGCUGCAGUUAACGCAAUAAGUAUUCCGCCUGGGGAGUAUGCACGCAAGUGUGAAACUCAAAGGAAUUGGCGGG
rnacentral:rRNA from 1 species